GACAGUGUUGCUCAGUGGUUAGAGCGCUGGACUAGGACCUGGGAGACCAGGGUUCGAAUCCUCCCACCCCCCCUUAGUCA